rnacentral:lncRNA from 1 species
AGUUUCCUUUACAAAGUCAUUUUCAGGAGCUGAAGUGAAAAAAGUAUGCCUCCCAGAGGUUAGAAUCUCAGGGGCAUUCUGUUCAAAGAACACAGGAAGAAAUACUUUGUCCUUUUUCUCUUAACUCAGGCCUCACAGGUCUUUUUGAAAGCCAGAAGCUAAAGUGGCUUAAGAGAAAGCUAGAAGUAUUGGGGUAGUGGUGUUCCCACUUCAGGGUGAAGUUGUCAGGAUGUACCUGUUUUAUGAUUCUAGUUCCUUUGAUUGGCAGUCCUUGAACUAAAUUAAAAACAGAGAAAAGUUCAUAUGAUUUAAACUCAUGAUGCUUCUUUGUGAAAAGGGAAAAUGAGACAUGUUGUUAGCCCCAGCAUCUCUUUUGAGAUGGGGGUUUUACUAUGUUGCCCAGGCUGGCC